rnacentral:lncRNA from 1 species
AAAUUCUCCUCAAAAAUCCACGAGGGUGAUUCCACGCCGUGGAUUGACUGCUUUCGUGAUUACUAUGGACGGUCCACCUCGCGUGACCUUGGCGAUCUUUCGCGCCUUGACACGAUCAUCUGGAAGGACAUCAUCGCGGGCCUUGCACACUUCCACAGUGUUUCGAAAUCCAUAAUUGGAGAUGGUCGGUCCACUUCCUUCUGGUUUGAUAAUUGGAUUGGAGGCGGCGCCCUCUUUCAACUGUUCCCUACCUUGUUCUCACAUGCAACUCGCCCCAACAUCUCUGUCGCGGACGCGCUAGCUGCUCCUGAAUUGCUACUUCAUCUUAGGCCCCAGUUGUCGACGGUGGCCACACACGAAUUGGCCACUGUCCAAGCCCUGGUAUGCCACCUAGUGUUAGACCCUGAGACGAAAGACAGACGCACCUCGUCCACAGAUCGCCCCCUCAUAGCAAAAACAACCUACGACUUAAGCUCGUCAGGGUUAACAGAUGACCCUUUUGCUAAGCCCAUAUGGGACAACCACGGUCAAGUUAAAUGCAAGAUCUUCCUUUGGACUACACACAAGAGGCGCAUCUUCACCAAUGAGAGACGAGCUCGACGUGGAUUAGCAACAUACACAUGUUGUCCUUUCUGCUCCUCUUAUGAAGAUGUGGAGCACCUCUUCCUACGCUGUGCCGGAUUCUCCGGGCGUUGUGCUAGUGACAUUGAGCUUUGGUCCCACCGAUGUAACAAUGCCGAGAGCAAACAAUAG